GAUAUAUUUGAGCACCAUAAGGGCAUCGGAAACCCUCAGAAUGCCGCCAAACUCUAAAUCAAGAUCGUAUAUACAUGUGCAUUUGGCCUCGAUCACUUCCAUCCCUAAACUAAAGGUCCAUUUGUGACCUGAAUCGAGACUUGCGUGCAUGGCAUAGAAAAUGAACAACGCGAGCUCGAAAGUGUUCCGCAGAAGCGCGGCGGAGAUGAUGGUGGAAGAAUCAGUCAGCGAAAACGACGCCACCUCCGUUUCUUGAAGAGUUCUGUGCGAUUAUGGGCAACAGGGCAAGGCAUCAUUGACGUCUUUGGCAGAGGCGACGACUCGGAGAAGGAGCUGGUGGUGAUCGAGCUGGCUGGCAUCCUGAGAAAUUUCAUUGUGGCUUUCACUGAGCGAAUCUCUGGAGAGCAAGUCGUGCAAUUGAGUUGAAGAAUCAUUCUUUACUACAUGGAAAAGUGAUAAGGGUCAUGUGAUCUCGUUGCGAUCCUGAUGCGAGAAAAAGCGGCAGAGGGAAUGUUUUUGUCAAGGGUUCAUCAAAUUUCUGGGACCUUACUACAUGCUGCUUAUAACAAAAAGAAGGCAAAAUUGGUGCAAUCUGUGGUCACACAGUAUAUGCUGUCUCAAAGACUCAGAUGAUUCCGCUGCCUGAUAUCAUCAAUUCUAAACUUGAAAACAGAUACAAGAAGCUGCUGUGCACAGUCGACCUUACAAAGGAUUUUUUUUCAGCUACUCAAAUCACAUUAUGCGUAGUCUUCAAAGAAACAUGUGUGAUAAUGAGACACGCCAUGUCCUUUAUGAGACCAUGUUUGUGUGAAAUGAAUUCUUGACACGAGGAAUUAGGAAUCUCUUCUAGAAUACUCUUUCUUUUUAUUUAUUUUAAUUUUAGAUUUAAUUUGUAAUCCUCUCUAUAUUCAUUGAUAUAUGGAAAUUAGUAGUUUAGACAUGUUUCAUU